rnacentral:rRNA from 1 species
GACGAACGCUGGCGGCUCGCUUAACACAUGCAAGUCGAACGAGAUCCUCGGAGCUUGCUCCGAGGGGACAGUGGCGAACGGGUGAGUAACACGUGAGAAACCUGCCCCGAAGACCGGGAUAACACCGGGAAACCGGUGCUAAUACCGGAUGCCCUCUCCGGAUCGCAUGGUCCGGCGAGGAAAUGGAUUCCGCUUCGGGAUGGUCUCGCGGCCUAUCAGCUAGUUGGCGGGGUAAAGGCCCACCAAGGCGAUGAUCGGUAGCUGGUCUGAGAGGAUGAUCAGCCACACUGGGACUGAGACACGGCCCAGACUCCUACGGGAGGCAGCAGUGGGGAAUAUUGGACAAUGGGCGGAAGCCUGAUCCAGCAACGCCGCGUGAGGGAUGACGGCCUUCGGGUUGUAAACCUCUUUCGCCUAUGACGAAGCGCAAGUGACGGUAAUAGGUAAAGAAGCACCGGCCAACUACGUGCCAGCAGCCGCGGUAAAAC